CUACGGGGGGCUGCAGUCGAGAAUCUUUUGCAAUGGGCGAAAGCCUGACAAUGCGACGCCGCGUGAGCGAUGAAGGCCUUCGGGUCGUAAAGCUCUGUUUGCCUGGAAGAAAGACGUUGGUCGAAUAGGCCAACGGGAUGACGGUACAGGCAGAGGAAGUCACGGCUAACUCCGUGCCAGCAGCCGCGGUAAUACGGAGGUGGCAAGCGUUGUUCGGAUUUAUUGGGUGUAAAGGGUAUGUAGGUGGUUAUGUAAGUCGAGCGUGAAAUCCUUUGGCUCAACCAAAGAACUGCACUCGAAACUGCUUAACUUGAGUUCAGGAGAGGAAAGUGGAAUUCCCGGUGUAAGAGUGACAUCUGUAGAUAUCGGGAGGAACACCAGUGGCGAAAGCGACUUUCUAGACUGAUACUGACACUGAAAUACGAAAGCUAGGGGAGCAAACAGGAUUAGAUACCCGCGUAGUC
rnacentral:rRNA from 1 species